AGUAAUUGCCAAAGUUAUCUAGGGAGGAAGGUUCAUGUAAAUGACAUGGUGUCCACAGUCCACAGGUGGGGAUGAAAAGUCGUUCCUUUUCUGGAGUCUCUCACCAUCUGGAGCUCUGAAAAAAAGCAAAACACUUUUUUAUUGUGGUACUGCCAUUUGGACUCCAUUGAAAAAACAAACAAACAAACAAACAAACAGAGUUACUGGAGGAAGAAUCCGAUUCUAGAGGAAUUAUUUUAACUCUGACUUCAGCGGACCUUGGAAAGGAUCCUGAAUUUGAAAUACAUCAUUCUGCCAUCUUAGAAACACAUUUGGCACACCCUGUUUGAAGAUAUCAUAAACGGCAUAUAUGAUCUUUUAUUCAUAAUCUACUGUUGCAGCUGAUACUGUUGGAUUUAACUGUGGUUUUUCGUCAUAGAUAAAUGCAUUCUUUAAAGGGCUUUGAACCAUUUUUAAGUAUGAAUGUACUGUACAGUGUUUUAUGACAACUGGUUGAUUAGCCCUGAUUUGUUUUUCUUUUGGAAGUUUUCUUUUCAUGUGUGUAUGAAGCUGUGCAUUAUAUUUACUUUCCAGCAUCAGUGACACCAAAAGCUAAAAAGCUACUCACAAAAUCAGCUACCAAAAGUCAUUGCUGGAUUUGUUUCCUUUUGCUUUGCAUCUGCUUGGCUACCAUUUCUGAUAUAUUAGAGGAAUUUGUAAACACACAUAUCAAAGAAAUUAAUCAAAACAGCCUCGUGCUAUUGUGUAUAUUUGACCCACGGUGUUUAUUUAAUCUCUGGUCUACAUUACACCGGAAGCCAGAUUUUACGGAUUGACAAAAUUGCAAUCAAAGAUUGCAAAGACACAGUGUGACACAGCUCAGUGGCUGGCAGCGGGUGGCCACAGCAGCCUGGGAUAAAUGUUGGUUGUUCCCUGAAUAUACUGGUUUUCAUGCUCCAGUGUUUUCUUUCCUCUUCUCAGCCCUCAUCUGUGCACUCCUGCCCUUCUGCAGGUGACCUCUGGUGCUCAGUGGGAACCACGAUGAGGUCUGAGCUAAAUCACUGCUGACUCUAACUGCAGCCACAAUAACGUAGAGUGACACUAAGUUAUUACAGUAACUGCUAUCCUUAAAAUCUAUGAAACUGUGUGAAAUUUAUGAAUUGUGAAAGCAGUUGCAUACAUGAAUAAGACAAUUCACUUGAGUAAUCCUAAUUUUAGUGCUAUUGAUUGUGUAUUCCUUUGGAAGAAGAAAAUCCAUAUAUCGAUAAUCGUCAUCUCCGAAACCCACUAAAUUGAAUUAGCGUUAAUUCACAUUUCAUUAUAAUAUUAUUUUUAUCAAUCAUCUAGAGCCUGUUAUGUAACAAAGCUUGCAGUGUAUAACUGAGAGAGAGUGCCAGGAAAUUAAAUCAGAAAAAUUUAUAAAAUACAUUAUCUAUAUUAAACCUAUGAUUCUGCACAGAUAUUUAAAUUCAUCAUAAAACUGAUAUACAAUAUUCUAGAAGGAAGAAGAUUGCAUUUUGGUCAUAAAAGCACACAGAUUGGUCUCUUCCGUGCUAUCAUGCCCACUCUUAUCUUUCUCUCCUUACAGAUGGGAGGCAUGAGGGAUGACUGUAGAUGUACACUUUCUGUAUUUUCCUCAAUAUCUUUCAAAAGCAAAAUUGCAUUAACCAAAAUAGUAAGGAAUUCUAUGCAUUCUCACUAUUUAUGUAGAGUGAAAAAUAAUUAUAUGCCACCAAAUCCCAAAGAUCUUUAGGGUGGGGGCAGGUGGGGGGAGGGUUCAGAGUGUUGCCAAAGUCCUAUUCAUAGUGCUAUCCACUGAACCCAGGAUUUAUUUAAUAGUUGCAGUUUCUUGCCUGGUGUAUAUGGAUCCUAGAAAAGUCAGUUAUAACUUCAAUUUAAACAAAAGUUUCUAUCUUCUUCUAUGUAAAAUAAUUGCUAUAGCUCAAAGUUAUCAGUUGUACCUAAUAUCAGCUCUCAAAAGUUUCUGAAAUUUUGAAAAAUACGACGUUAUUUACCUUGAUUUUCUGAGUGCAUCAGCUAUGAGUCAUUUCACCCCUGAUAAAAUGGAGGCACUUGUAAGCAGACCCCUGUCUCCUCCUAA